rnacentral:rRNA from 1 species
UACGUAGGGGGCAAGCGUUGUCCGGAUUUAUUGGGCGUAAAGAGCGUGUAGGCGGCCAGACAGGUCCGUUGUGAAAACUCGAGGCUCAACCUCGAGACGCCGAUGGAAACCGUCUGGCUAGAGUCCGGAAGAGGGGAGUGGAAUUCCUGGUGUAGCGGUGAAAUGCGCAGAUAUCAGGAAGAACACCCGUGGCUAAGGCGGCUCUCUAGUACGGUACUGACGCUGAGACGCGAAAGCGUGGGGAGCGAACAGG